rnacentral:rRNA from 1 species
CCGGCGAACGGGUGCGUAACACGUGAGCAACCUGCCUCAGUGUGGGGGAUAGCCGGCCCAACGGCCGGGUAAUACCGCAUACGCUCGUCCGGCCGCAUGGCGGGGCGAGGAAACUUCCGGGCGGGAUGAGGGGCUCGCGGCCUAUCAGCUAGUUGGGGGGUAACGGCCUCCCAAGGCGACGACGGGUAGCUGGUCUGAGAGGAUGGCCAGCCACAUUGGGACUGAGAGACGGCCCAG